UACACCCCACCACCUAUUUAUCUUUUUCUUGGAGAGUUGGUUGUGUAGUGUUAUGUGAAAGCCUUUUCCUGUUGUUUCUGUGUGUGCUUUUUGGACUCUUGCAUGAUCCAAAAAGUUGCUCUCUUUCUUUAUCUGUUGAUAGUUUUUUAUAUCUGCUCCUUCUUUCUCAGCACUUUAACCAUCUCGGACUCAGGGGCUCCUUUCUUUCAUGUUGCUCUCUUUCUUUAUUUGUUGAUAGUCUUUUUAUCUGCUCCUCUUUCUCAGCGCUUUAACCAUCUCGGACACAAAGGGUCCUUUCUUCCAUCCUCUCUGAUCUCUGUGAUAUUAAAUAUGGUUGUUAUUUGGAGGAGAAAGUUAAAUUUGGAAUUGAAGUUAAAAGAAGAAACAAGAUAAAAAGGAAAGAAGAAUCAGAAAAAGAUAGGAAAAGAAGAGCAGAAGAAGGAAGAGAGAAGAAGAGAGAGCAAGGAAGGAUGGCUGAAUUCUUUGGAGUUUCUCCAGCAAGAAAGCACACCAAUAAGGGGAAAAAGAAGGAUUUUAGUUUGGAAUAUAGGAAAUUAGAGAAAGGAAGGGAAGAAGGAAAUUAGGAUCAAGAAAAGAAGAUUUCUGCAGGGCAACAGCUUUUUCAUUUGUUCAGGUGAUAUAAAGUGAUUAUUGAUAUCAGUUGAUAGUUUUAGAGCUCAGAUUGACUAAACUCCAUGACCCUGGGAAGCAAAGGAAGGAUGAUUAUAAGUAGGGAUAAAGAUGUUACACUCUGAAUCUUUCUCACUGAUAAACGAUUGGAUAGCAAGAAAAAGGAAAAAUCACAGAAACAAGAGUAAAGGAUUGAAGGUGUUUGUGGUAAUUCUUCUUUCGAAUUUGUUCCUUACCUCAUAGUGGGAAAAUUCCUUUCAGCCUUGAACUCAUUGAGAAGCUCUUGAUCCCCCAUGGUAGCGUUUCCUGUUGAAUUGUUUUUGGGUGCCCCUACCGCAUAACCACAACAAUAGAA
rnacentral:misc_RNA from 1 species